AUUAUACUCCCUCCGUCCGGAAAUACUUGUCAUCAAAAUGGACAAAACGGGAUGUAUCUAGAACUAAAAUACGUCUAGAUACAUCUCCUUUUAUCCAUUUUGAUGACAAGUAUUUCCGGACGGAGGGAGUAUAAA
rfam:Triticum aestivum genome assembly, contig: Triticum_aestivum_CS42_TGACv1_scaffold_061341_1DL